rnacentral:rRNA from 1 species
GAUGAACGCUAGCUACAGGCUUAACACAUGCAAGUCGAGGGGCAGCAUGGUCUUAGCUUGCUAAGACUGAUGGCGACCGGCGCACGGGUGAGUAACACGUAUCCAACCUGCCGUCUACUCUUGGACAGCCUUCUGAAAGGAAGAUUAAUACAAGAUGGCAUCAUGAGUCCGCAUGUUCACAUGAUUAAAGGUAUUCCGGUAGACGAUGGGGAUGCGUUCCAUUAGAUAGUAGGCGGGGUAACGGCCCACCUAGUCUUCGAUGGAUAGGGGUUCUGAGAGGAAGGUCCCCCACAUUGGAACUGAGACACGGUCCAAACUCCUACGGGAGGCAGCAGUGAGGAAUAUUGGUCAAUGGGCGAGAGCCUGAACCAGCCAAGUAGCGUGUGGGACGAAUGCCCUAUGGGUUGUAAACCACUUUUGCAGGAGGGUAAAAUGCUUCACGUGUGGAGUAUUGCAAGUAUCCUGCGAAUAAGGACCGGCUAAUUCCGUGCCAGCAGCCGCGGUAAUACGGAAGGUCCGGGCGUUAUCCGGAUUUAUUGGGUUUAAAGGGAGCGUAGGCGGGGAGUCAAGUCAGUUGUGAAAAGCCGCGGCCCAACCGUGGUCGUGCAGUUGAAACUGGUUCUCUUGAGUGCGCACGAGGACGGUGGAAUUCGUGGUGUAGCGGUGAAAUGCUUAGAUAUCACGAAGAACUCCGAUUGCGAAGGCAGCCGUCCGGAGCGUUACUGACGCUGAGGCUCGAAGGUGCGGGUAUCAAACAGG